UGCACUCGAUGUCCAGGACAAAGUUUGUUAC
rnacentral:piRNA from 1 species